GUCAAUUGCAGUGUUUGUUUUUGAGGUGGUGCAGGUGGUUUCACCGAAGUGGAUUCAAUGUUAAACAGUAGUGACGGUGCCUUCGUGGUUUUAAGAGAAAGUUUGAGGACGUAAAUGUUUCCGUGGUACUUUCGUGAGCUAGACAUUGAACGGUUGGCUGAAUAAGUCUAACAAGAAUUGGGCUUUAUACAGAUUCCUAUACUCUGUUAAUUCGCAAAAGAUUUUCUGCCGCUCGCUGCCUCUACGUAUCCUUGACAUGCACGACUGCGGCAGUUCAAGAGCGGAGACCGAAAAUUUGUUUUUACCAGUAAUUCACGAAAAACACGAGUUUCAACAAACGGCGAAGAAUAAUGAACUUAUCCAUUCAUACAGCACAGUACCAGAGAAGUUACUGAGUAUACACCAGGAAUUAGCUAAUAGGCUAUCAGAAUUACCAUUCUCGGCACCAAUCGAAUACAUUUAUAAUCCUGUGGACUACGCUUUUGAUGUCCAUGCUCAAUUUGUAAAUAAAUUCUGCCAAUCACAAAAGCAAAUUUUAUUUCUUGGUAUGAAUCCUGGACCAUGGGGUAUGUCGCAAACUGGGGUACCAUUUGGUGAAGUGACGAUAGUGAGAGACUGGUUAGGUAUUAGUGGGGAAGUUAGAUGCCCGUCUAAACAAUGCCCUAAAAGACCUGUGCUGGGUUUCAGCUGUAAGAGAAGAGAACUUAGUGGUUGGAAGUUCUGGAACUUCUUCAAAAGCAUAUGUUUGAAUCCACACAGGUUCUUCAGACAUGCUUUUGUUUAUAAUUACUGUCCAUUGGCAUUUAUGACAGCAACAGGAAAGAAUGUAACGCCAGCAGAAAUGAAGAGUAGUGAUCGCAAGAUGAUAGCUUCCCUUUGUGAGAGAGCAUUCUGCAAAGUACUGGAUCUGUUACAUGUGGAUACAAUAAUUGCUGUUGGGAAGUAUGCUGAGAAGAGUGCUGCUUCUGUGACAAAAGCAAAUGGAUUGAACCACAUAAAGGAGUGAAGAGAGAAGGUGAUAAGCAGGAAAAAGGCUGUCGAAUGCUGGCUCAGAGGUGACAUGUGAUAUCGACAUGGAGCACCCUGUCUGUCAUACAGAUUGUUACUAUUCUACAUCCCAGCCCACGGAAUUCCAAUUCAAAAAACUGGGAAGAAGAAACUAAAGCACUAUUACAGAAAAAUGAUUUAAUGAAAUUUUUUUGUGAUGCUUGAAAUAUAUUAAACAG
rnacentral:misc_RNA from 1 species